ensembl:lncRNA PPP3CB-AS1 PPP3CB antisense RNA 1 (head to head)
ACACACAGCUAGCUCUUCAGGCCAGGCCCCCAGGGUUUCGUCCACCUCUCACCUUUGACGACGCGAAUGAAGAAUGAGGAGGUGCUGCGAUCGAACGACUGCGAGGAAACACACCCGCUCUCAUGGCAUUCCCAGUAAACUGAGAAGACGUGAUUAAACCUCAGGAUCUCCUACUAAUAGAGAAAUGUAUAACGAUUUAGCUACCAGAUCUGAAUACUGAAGGGUUGGUAGGGGACCAGAGAAUAGAGGAAGCAUUGUAGGUUCUAGAGUGGAGAAGGGACCAUCCAAAAUGGAGUUUGAAAGAGAAUUCUGGCCUUUGUGUUUAGAGUCUGGAAUUGUCAAGAGUCUGAAAGCACAGAAUAAGACUGCAGCUAGAGCAAUUUAGGCGCCAUAGUUUGUCAAAACAGGUAAGGGGAAUAAAGGGGAUGACACCAAGAGAUGUGCAAAGAAUCUGAAGAAUUCACCUGAAAAGGAUACAACCUCCUCCUGGAAGGCAGAGGAGUAAAUAGGGAAUUGGAAAUUAAUUCCUUAUUUCUGCACAUGCACAGAAUCUGGGCCCAGGUGACUUAUGGAACCUUUAUAGAGACCACGGUGACUGACACUCAUGGGAAAGGGGGUAGAGGGGCAAGAACUGACUGUUCAUCAAAAAUUAUUAGAUGAGUGUGUCCACGACACCAGGAGAUAUGUUGAAUCAUGGACAGGGACCAGCAUAUCCACUAAGCUCUAUAUAUCUUGAUGGUGCAGGAUCCAAGUGGGAUGGAACAACCAAUUCCUGCCCAUCCUCCUGCUCAAUAAUACAUGUGCUCAGAAUCUGUUCAUAAUGCAUGGUGAGUGGGAGGCAUAACUGCUUUGCCUCCAGUCAUCAUCUGGGGGCAUAUCUACUCUUCGAGGACCAGGGGUUCGGGACCCUGGAACAGGAUCUGAAUUCCAAGCUGACCUCAGGGGUACAUGAAGACUGCUAGAUGAGACGGGAUCUCACUGUGUUGCCCAGGCUGGUCUCGAACUGCUGGACUCAAGUCAUCCUCCCAUCUUGGCCUCCCAAAGUGCUGGAAUUACAGUGGACAACCUUCAAUGCACUGGUACUUUGUACCCUGACCUCUACUGUGAUGAACACUCAACUUGGGCAAGGAAGUGAAAUUCUCCAAAGCAAGGAGGAGGGUGCUCUGAAUAGAUGGACCCUGAUUCUACUUACAAAACUGUGGGAAGAAACCGGAGCUUCCUCCCUCUCUGAGACAACGGUGCCACUGAGACUGCGUGAGAUGCGACGUAAAUUCUCUGCACUGUACUGCUCAUCCUCCCCACACUCCCUGCUGAGGCCUCGGCAAGGUGUAGCCUUCAAACACACAGACACAUACAGGCAGACACAUAAUACCAGACUUAUGGUUUUCCCACAGACAGUAUCCUCAGGGUAUGGGAAAGAGUAGGGGAAGACUCAGUAGUAAUAGACACCUGAAUUAGAUGUAUUGGUAAGAUAGUGGCCAUGUAACAAUCUCCUCUAAUUCAAAAGAAGCCCAAUCAUAGACCUUAUUUUCUUCUGAUAGCCCCAUAUCACCAUGCCUCUGCCUUAUCAUCAUCCCUGUCACAUCUCUCCAUAAUUCCUUCCCCAACACACCACCCCAGGCCCAGCACCUUAGCACCUGAGGCUGCUACCUGAGAAGUACGCACUGUUCUGGCUUCAUGGAGACCAUGCUCCAUUUCUGCUGUUGAAGUCUUUGAGAGACCAGGAUCAUGGGCUGAGUGCAACCUCCUCCCCAUGCCAUCUGCAGAGCCUGAAGAGGAAAACACAAAUACAAGUUGAGGCCAUCUCUUCCCCUAGGGCCUAACCUCUAAGCCUAGCAGCACAAACUCAGGAGCUGUUGUUUCAUUUAAUAAUAAAUAUGCAUCCUUGAAUUCAACGGAGGAACAUGCUCCUGGAAUUUAGAAGCAAGAGGGGCUGGGCGCGGUGGCUCACACCUGUAAUCCCAGCACUUUGGGAGGCCAACACGGGCAGAUCACGAGGUCAGGAGAUCGAGACCACCCUGGCUAACAUGGUAAAACCCUGUCUCUACUAAAAAUACAAAAAAUUAGCCGGGCGUGGUGGCAGGCACCUGUAAUCCCAGCUACUCGGGAGGCUGAGGCAGGAGAAUGGCGUGAACCCGGGAGGCGUAGCUUGCAGUGAGCGGAGAUCACGCCACUGCACUCCAGCCCGGGUGACAGAGCGAGACUCCGUCUCAAAAAAAAAAAGAAACAAGAAUUUUAGAAUAUAGAUAGUUUACUGAGUGUCCCCAUCUUGCUUCAUUUCAUUUUUGUAAACAUAAUCAGCUUCUGUCAGACUUAGGCUCAAGACUUAUAGACAGAGGAAAGUAUCUAACACAGUGAGUUUUGUUUUCUAACACAGUGAUUUUCUAAAGUAUCUGUGGUGACAAAGGAAAUUAUCUCCAGUCUAGUUCAGAAUAGAAAUGAUCAUAAUAAUCAUCUAUCAAACCUCCUCAUUUUAUAUAACAGGAAAAUGAGUUCCAGGGUCUGAGAGUUUAGUAGUUUAACCAGGAUUAAAAUUAAAUCCUCUUGAUUUUCAGUACAGUACUCUUACCAUCUCACCUGGUGACCUCUUUUACUCUGAGAGCAGGAGCUCCUCAGGAAUGUUUUACAUAUGUAAUGCUCUUUUCCCCUUAGCUUCUCUCAAAUCAUUUAAAUUUCUAAACAACCACUAAAUGCUUACCUCUUUUCAAAAUCUUUCUAGAUUGUUCAGUUGCUCUAAACUGGAUUGGUGACUCCCAAGGGGCUAUCCCCAAUCCAACUAAUUAAGUUUUCCAUUCCAAAACUGUAUAUGCCCCUGACCUACAUUUGAUACAUAUGUCCAUGGCCAAUUCAUGUCUUGAUUUGAUGAUUUGAUUCUAAUAUAUAUAUAUAUAUCUGGCUGAAGCUGAUAUUAUUCAUGUAAGUAUUGUAAGACCAGUUAUUUUCAGUAUUCCUGGGUACUUAAAUGCAGUGCUUUCAAUACCACCUCAGAUUCAUCUGGGAACUUUUAAAAAUAUAGCUUCCUGGAUGUUACCACAGAGCUGAAUCAGAAGGUUUGUGGUUGGUGCCUGGGAAUUUUCAUUUUUGAAAGGUUCCCAAAAAGUCUAAGAAAAUAUCCUUGAACAUUAUUGGGGGAAAUGGGAAAUGUUACAGUCUUCCUAAAAAACAACCUGGUAAUCUCCAAUAAAAUAAAAAAUAUAUUUAUCCUGUUGCCCAACGAUUCUAAUCCUGAGAAGAAGAAGAAAAAAAUACCAGUUCAUAACAACAUAUAUAUGAGAAUAUUUUCUACUGACAUAAUUUAUAGUAGCCAAGAACUAGAAAUAAAGUAAUGCCCACCUAUAGAAGAAUAAAUACAUUAUGGUUUAAUACCAGAUAUUGUCCAGCCACUUAAAAAGAUUGAACUGAGUUAAACUAGAUGAUUUGAAGAAAUUUUAAUGAAACAUUGUUGCAUUAAAAGGAAAAAAAUCUGUAAAAUGAUAGACAAGCAUUUGUUUAUGUAUAUGUAGGUCUACAUAGGAUUGUAUAAACAGAAAAUACAGUGUAUGCACACUAGAUAAUUACCUGGGGAAGUAGGGACUGGCUGUGAGAGAAGAGACAGGAAAAUUGUCUAUAAUAAAAACAGCAUGUG